rnacentral:rRNA from 1 species
GCGUUGUCCGGAAUUACUGGGCGUAAAGCGUGCGCAGGCGGAUUGUUAAGCAAGAUGCGAAAUCCCCGGGCUUAACCUGGGAAUGGCAUUUUGAACUGGCAAUCUAGAGUGUGUCAGAGGGGGGUAGAAUUCCACGUGUAGCAGUGAAAUGCGUAGAGAUGUGGAGGAAUACCGAUGGCGAAGGCAGCCCCCUGGGAUAACACUGACGCUCAUGUACGAAAGCGUG